CAUGCAAGUCGAGCGGCAGCGGGUCCUUCGGGAUGCCGGCGAGCGGCGGACGGGUGAGUAAUGCCUAGGAAUCUGCCUGGUAGUGGGGGAUAACUCGGGGAAACUCGAGCUAAUACCGCAUACGUCCUACGGGAGAAAGCGGGGGAUCUUCGGACCUCGCGCUACCAGAUGAGCCUAGGUCGGAUUAGCUAGUUGGUGAGGUAAAGGCUCACCAAGGCGACGAUCCGUAGCUGGUCUGAGAGGAUGAUCAGCCACACUGGAACUGAGACACGGUCCAGACUCCUACGGGAGGCAGCAGUGGGGAAUAUUGGACAAUGGGCGAAAGCCUGAUCCAGCCAUGCCGCGUGUGUGAAGAAGGUCUUCGGAUUGUAAAGCACUUUAAGUUGGGAGGAAGGGCAGUAAGCUAAUACCUUGCUGUUUUGACGUUACCGACAGAAUAAGCACCGGCUAACUUCGUGCCAGCAGCCGCGGUAAUACGAAGGGUGC
rnacentral:rRNA from 1 species